AAAUUUAGGUUAACCAUAAACCAAGGGCCUUCAAAGCCCCAGAUAGAUUACCAUCUAAUUUCUG
rnacentral:tRNA from 1 species